UACGUAGGGUGCAAGCGUUAUCCGGAAUUAUUGGGCGUAAAGAGCUCGUAGGCGGUUUGUCGCGUCUGCUGUGAAAACCGGAGGCUCAACCUCCGGCCUGCAGUGGGUACGGGCAGACUAGAGUGCGGUAGGGGAGAUUGGAAUUCCUGGUGUAGCGGUGGAAUGCGCAGAUAUCAGGAGGAACGCCAAUGGCGAAGGCAGAUCUCUGGGCCGUAGCUGACGCUGAGGAGCGAAAGCAUGGGGAGCGAACAGG
rnacentral:rRNA from 1 species